CCUACGGGAGGCAGCAGUGAGGAAUAUUGGUCAAUGGACGAGAGUCUGAACCAGCCAAGUAGCGUGAAGGAUGACUGCCCUAUGGGUUGUAAACCUCUUUUAUCUGGGAAUAAAAUGUUCCACGUGUGGGACUUUGUAUGUACCAGAUGAAUAAGGAUCGGCUAACUCCGUGCCAGCAGCCGCGGUAAUACGGAGGAUCCGAGCGUUAUCCGGAUUUAUUUGGUUUAAAGGGAGCGUAGGUGGAUUGUUAAGUCAGUUGUGAAAGUUGUCGGGUCAACCACAAAAUUGCAGUUGAAACUGGCAGUCUUGAGUACAGUAGAGGUAGGCGGAAUUCGUGGUGUAGCGGUGAAAUGCUUAGAUAUCACGAAGAACUCCGAUUGCGAAGGCAGCUCACUGGACUGCAACUGACACUGAGGCUCGAAAGUGUGGGUAUCAAACAGGAUUAGAUACCCUAGUAGUC
rnacentral:rRNA from 1 species